CGGCGCGGCCGGCCGGGCCCGCUGCAUGGCUUCCGGGGAGGCCUGCACGGCCGGGGACGGGUGGCGCCGCGGGCGGGAGCCAGCUCGGCUCUGAUCGCCAUCGUACCGGUAGGCGCCGAGGAGCCGGCCGCCGGCCGACAGGAGCGGCGCCGACAGCGACAGCGCAGCCGCAGCCAUGAACAAGUACCUGAGAAGAAUCAAAGCAAGAAAGAGAGCUCCAAGUUCAGCCGGAUCGACCGGUCCAACAGCGAGGACGAGGAGGAGGAAGAGGAGGCGCCGCCGGACACCCCUGACGUCACCGUGACGUCACAGCAGCCGGAGCCGCCCGCUGACAGCCAG
rnacentral:lncRNA from 1 species